GUGAGUCCAAUGAAUCGCUGAUGUGCGUGACGAGGGAAACAGGUGCGUCUAAUGAUGGUAUUAGGAGUGCGUAGUGCUGGGCAGCCAGGUGCCCUCGAGUGCCAGGGAGGGAGAACGAGUGCCAGGGAGGGAGAGCGGGGGCUGGCGUGACAGAAUGAGAAGAAGAGUCCACACAACACCACCUGUGUACUGGGUCUGCUGGUCAGUCAACUGAGAUUACGAUACACAGAUGGAGAGCGGAGCAUGGCAGAUUAUGAAGGGGAGUAGUCCAAUAAAGACAUGGACUGACUAUAACAGUUCUACAUCUUACAAUUUUCACAAGGAUUUUGAUGCAUAUAGUCAUGGCUAAUAAACUACACUGACUCCUCAAAUGCAGCUGCAAAUUGGUAUUGGACUGAAAGACAGAGGCAUAAGUCGUCAGAAACCUCAGACAGCAAAGAAACGAAGGCAGCUUCACCAGAGACAGCGAUAUUGGACUCACCUGGGCUCUCUCUUCACCUGUUAUUACCUCCCCUGCUCUGUUCCCCGCUUCUGCAUUGAUUGUUUUUUGUUUGUGUUACUCGUUUGCUGACACUGUUCCUGGC
ensembl:lncRNA